rfam:Dictyocaulus viviparus strain HannoverDv2000 D_viviparus-1.0_Cont1411.3, whole genome shotgun sequence.
GCACCAAUGGUGUAGCGGUAUCAUUGUACCCUCCCAAUAUAUAGACCCGGGUCCUAAUCCCGGUUGCUGCA